GCUCUUGUGGCUUAGUGGUUUGAGUAUUUCACUAGGACUCUAGAGACCAGAGUUCAAAUCCUGGCUCAGCCA